rnacentral:pre_miRNA from 1 species
CGUGCACCGGUGGGGUCCCUCGGCCUGGCCUGUGCCCUCUUGCAAUCUGGAACCCCUCGGGGGAAGUCAGAGAGCUGGUUUCUCCCGAUCCUGCAGGCCAGGCCGAGGGACCCCACUGGUGCAUG